UACGACUACAUAUCAGGCAUAUCAAUAAGCGGAGGAAAAGAAACUAACAAGGAUUCCCUUAGUAACGGCGAGUGAAGCGGGAAGAGCUCAAAUUUGAAAUCUUCAAGGUUCUACCUUGACGAAUUGUAGUUUAUAGAAGUGUUUUCUGUUAGUGGAGUGGCAAAAGUUCUUUGGAAUAGGACAUCAUAGAGGGUGAGAAUCCCGUAUUUGGUCAUUCCUCCUAGCGUUGUGAUACACUUUCAACGAGUCGGAUUGUUUGGGAAUGCAGUCCAAAAUGGGUGGUAAAUUUCAUCUAAAGCUAAAUAUUGGCGAGAGACCGAUAGCGAACAAGUACCGUGAGGGAAAGAUGAAAAGAACUUUGAAAAGAGAGUUAAACAGUACGUGAAAUUGUCAAAAGGGAAGCGUUUGACACCAGUGUUGUUUUCUCGAAAAUCAAUUAAAAAUGACCGGAUUUUGUGUUGUAUUGACUUUAUCAGCUUUCUGCACUUUUUUCUUGUCUUUUUUAAUGCACUUUUCGUUUAACAAGUCAACAUCAAUUUCUUUUGUUGUAAAAGGGUCAUUGGAAGGUGGCUUUCACUUCGGUGAAAGUGUUUAUAGCCUUUGACUUCUGCAAUCGGAGAGAUUGAGGUCUGCAGCGUAGAUCCUUCGGGGUUAGAUACAUUUGUGCUAAGUUAUAGUUUUUCAUAGACAACAUGUUGACUAUGAUUAAUCAUGUAGCUUACUCGCUUAUGCUAUUUUACCUACGCUUAGGAUGUUG
rnacentral:rRNA from 1 species